rnacentral:rRNA from 1 species
GCGGGACACGUGGUAUCCUGUCUGAAUAUGGGGGGACCAUCCUCCAAGGCUAAAUACUCCUGACUGACCGAUAGUGAACCAGUACCGUGAGGGAAAGGCGAAAAGAACCCCGGCGAGGGGAGUGAAAAAGAACCUGAAACCGUGUACGUACAAGCAGUGGGAGCCUCUUAAUGGGGUGACUGCGUACCUUUUGUAUAAUGGGUCAGCGACUUAUAUUCUGUAGCAAGGUUAACCGAAUAGGGGAGCCGAAGGGAAACCGAGUCUUAACUGGGCGUUAAGUUGCAGGGUAUAGACCCGAAACCCGGUGAUCUAGCCAUGGGCAGGUUGAAGGUUGGGUAACACUAACUGGAGGACCGAACCGACUAAUGUUGAAAAAUUAGCGGAUGACUUGUGGCUGGGGGUGAAAGGCCAAUCAAACCGGGAGAUAGCUGGUUCUCCCCGAAAGCUAUUUAGGUAGCGCCUCGUGAAUUCAUCUCCGGGGGUAGAGCACUGUUUCGGCAAGGGGGUCAUCCCGACUUACCAACCCGAUGCAAACUGCGAAUACCGGAGAAUGUUAUCACGGGAGACACACGGCGGGUGCUAACGUCCGUCGUGAAGAGGGAAACAACCCAGACCGCCAGCUAAGGUCCCAAAGUCAUGGUUAAGUGGGAAACGAUGUGGGAAGGCCCAGACAGCC